GGGCGGUGGCAUACCGACCUGAUCCGAGGUAACCUGGAAAAANAUUUGGGUUGAUCGGCAAGCGCCGGCCGGGCCUACAGAGCGGGUGACAAAGCCCCAUACGCUCGAGGACCGGACGCGGUGCCGCCGCUGCCUUUCGGGCCCGUCCCCCGGAAUCGGAGGACGGGGCCCAACACACAAGCCGUGCUUGAGGGCAGCAAUGACGCUCGGACAGGCAUGCCCCCCGGAAUACCAGGGGGCGCAAUGUGCGUUCAAAGACUCGAUGAUUCACUGAAUUUGCAAUUCACAUUACGUAUCGCAUUUCGCUGCGUUCUUCAUCGAUGCCGGAACCAAGAGAUCCGUUGUUGAAAGUUUUAAAUAAUUUAUAUUUUCACUCAGACUACAAUCUUCAGACAGAGUUCGAGGGUGUCUUCGGCGGGCGCGGGCCCGGGGGCGUAAGCCCCCCGGCGGCCAGUUAAGGCGGGCCCGCCGAAGCAACAAGGUAAAUAAACACGGGUGGGAGGUUGGACCCAGAGGGCCCUCACUCAUUAAUGAUCCUUCCGCAGGUUCACCUACCGAACU
rnacentral:misc_RNA from 1 species